CGUCGCGCCCCGGGGGAGGGGUCAGGUGUGUGGGGCGGCGUCCGCGUUGGUGGGGGUCCCGCUGCGGGCCCGCAGCACAGCCGUGCGGCCGAGUGAGGCGGCCAGUGAGGGUCGGAACCGGGGGUUCUUGGGGGGUCAUUGUCAUUUGAGGAUGUGGCUGUGGACUUCACAUGGGAGGAGUGGCAGCUCUGGAUUCUGCUCGAAAGAAUUUGUACAGAAAUGUGAUGUUGGAGAACUUGAGCAGCCUUGAGUCGCUAGAAGCUGAAACCCAAGAAAUUGGACUCAAGUCCUCUGUGAUUUCCCAUGUGCAGGGUUUCAGGUUAUCAAACCAGAUGUGAUCUUCAGACUGGAGCAAGACCAGCCAUGGGCAAUAGAUGAGGAUACCCCAAGUCAGAGCUUUUCAGAGUUCUGGAAAGUUGAUCAUUACAAAGCUUGGCACCAAGAAACCCAAGACAGGCAUAAAAGAUUGGAACAAGCCUGUGAAAGUAACGCGAGUGGAAAAACAUUUCAAUCAGGCAUGUACCUUGAACCUUUAAAGCAAAACCUAAUAAGUAUGUUUCAAAUGGAAAACAUUUGCAAUAUUCAUUAGAUUUGCUUACUCAGAGUGGAAAUUAUGGAAGGAAGAAACCUGGUAAGUUUAAUGGGUAUGAAAAAUCAUUUCUCUAUACCAAACAUGAAAAAAUUUGUUUUGGAUUAAAAUACUAUGAAUGUAAUGAAUGUGGAAAAGUCAACAGCAAGAAGUCACGGCUCAUCAUCCAUUGGAGAACACACACAGGGGAGAAACCCUUUAAGUGCAGUGAGUGUGGUGAAGCCUUUUCACAGAAGUCAAACCUUGCUACACACCAGACCAUUCACAUGGGAGAACAACUUUAUGGAUGUGAGUGUGGGAAGGCCUUCUCUCAGAAGUCGCACCUCAUUACACAUCGGAGGGCUCACACUGGAGAGAAGCCCUAUGGAUGUGGUGAAUGCGGGAAAGCCUUCUUCCAGAAGUCACACCUCGUGAUCCAUCAGCGAGCUCACAUAGAACAGAAACCGUAGAAGUAUAGCAAAUGUGAGAGACUUUUACAAAAAGUUCAAUAAUCAUGACAGCAGAGGAAGAAGCAUAUUGCUUCAGACGUAUGUUUAUAGGACUUGUAUUCCCAAGUAUGGCUAAAUAAUAUGAUUUUAUAUUUUUUCAUAGCAUAUAUGAAAUUAAUAUAACUGUGAACAUGAUAUAUGUUCUGUUCAUAGCAUGGCAUCUGUCAAGAGUUCUGCAUAGACUAUCACUUACCUUGCACUACAACAAUAGAAUGUAAACUGGAUCAAAUGAUUGACUUACUAUUUAACAAAGAGGUUAAAUGACCAAGUACUUUCUGGUACAUGUAACUGAGUCUGAGAACUCUCACCAUGCUGUGUCUUCAGUCAUCGAAGCUGGGAUUUUUAAAUAAAGUCUCCUGCUUCCUCUGA